rnacentral:tRNA from 1 species
UCCCGUGUGGCUCAGUUGGUAGAGCAUGGUGUUUGCAACGCCAGGGUUGUGGGUUCGGUUGCCACGGGAG